UGAGUAACGCGUGGGCAACCUGCCUCAGUACUGGGGGGAUAGCAGUUGGAAACGACUGAUAAUACCGCAUAAGCGCACAGUAUCGCAUGAUACAGUGUGAAAAACUCCGGUGGUAUGAGAUGGGCCCGCGUCAGAUUAGCCAGUUGGCAGGGUAACGGCCUCCAAAGCGACGAUCUGUAGCCGGCCUGAGAGGGCGACGGCCACAUUGGGACUGAGACACGGCCCAAACUCCUACGGGAGGCAGCAGUGGGGGAUAUGCACAAUGGGGGAAACCCUGAUGCAGCGACGCCGCCGUGAGUGAAGAAGUAUUUCGGUAUGUAAAGCUCUAUCAGCAGGGAAGAAAGGCCCUUCGGGGAGAUGACGGUACCUGACUAAGAAGCCCCGGCUAACUACGUGCCAGCCGCUGC
rnacentral:rRNA from 1 species